UACGGGGGGGGCAAGCGUUGUUCGGAAUUACUGGGCGUAAAGGGCUCGUAGGUGGCCAACUAAGUCAGACGUGAAAUCCCUCGGCUUAACCGGGGAACUGCGUCUGAUACUGGAUGGCUUGAGUUUGGGAGAGGUGAGUGGAACUGCGAGUGUAGAGGUGAAAUUCGUAGAUAUUCGCAAGAACACCAGUGGCGAAGGCGGCUCACUGGCCCGGUACUGACGCUGAGGUGCGAAAGCGUGGGGAGCAAACAGG
rnacentral:rRNA from 1 species